AACGAACGCUGGCGGCAGGCUUAACACAUGCAAGUCGAGCGCCCCGCAAGGGGAGCGGCAGACGGGUGAGUAACGCGUGGGAAUCUACCCAUCUCUACGGAAUAACGCAUGGAAACGUGUGCUAAUACCGUAUACGUCCUUCGGAGAACGAUUUAUCGGAGAUGGAUGAGCCCGCGUUGGAUUAGCUAGUUGGUGGGGUAAAGGCCUACCAAGGCGACGAUCCAUAGCUGGUCUGAGAGGAUGAUCAGCCACACUGGGACUGAGACACGGCCCAGACUCCUACGGGAGGCAGCAGGUGGGAAUAUUGGACAAUGGGCGCAAGCCUGAUCCAGCCAUGCCGCGUGAGUGAUGAAGGCCCUAGGGUUGUAAAGCUCUUUCACCGGUGAAGAUAAUGACGGUAACCGGAGAAGAAGCCCCGGCUAACUUCGUGCCAGCCGCCGCGGUAACAC
rnacentral:rRNA from 1 species